rnacentral:rRNA from 1 species
AUUGAACGCUGGCGGCAUGCCUUACACAUGCAAGUCGAACGGUAACAGGUUAAGCUGCCGAGUGGCGAACGGGUGAGUAAUGUAUCGGAACGUGCCCAGUCGUGGGGGAUAACUGCUCGAAAGAUCAGCUAAUACCGCAUACGACCUGAGGGUGAAAGCGGGGGAUCGCAAGACCUCGCGCGAUUGGAGCGGCCGAUAUCAGAUUAGGUAGUUGGUGAGGUAAAGGCUCACCAAGCCGACGAUCUGUAGCUGGUCUGAGAGGACGACCAGCCACACUGGGACUGAGACACGGCCCAGACUCCUACGGGAGGCAGCAGUGGGGAAUGUUGGACAAUGGGCGCAAGCCUGAUCCAGCCAUGCCGCGUGCGGGAAGAAGGCCUUCGGGUUGUAAACCGCUUUUGUCAGGGAAGAAAAGGUUCUGGCUAAUACCUGGGACUCAUGACGGUACCUGAAGAAUAAGCACCGGCUAACUACGUG